GAAAUAAAAUCAGUUGAGUGAGCAUCUCCGACACGGCAACAUCUGCAGCGCACUAUCUGUCACCAUCUGCUUUCUUCAUCCUUAUUACAUCAGUUCACAAUAAUUGAUAGCUAUAGCGUUAUGUUGGGUCUCAUUGAUGGCUUGGUUGACCACGAGAGAAAAUCGUACAAAAGGAGAGAAAAGGCGAUCGUUAUCAGUCGAGUGAGCAUCGGGCAUCUCCAACACGGCAACAACUGCACUGCCCUAUCACUGCAUUCCUCAUCGUGUAACCAAAUCGCAAUCAUGGCUAACGUCGUGCUGCUGUUAGGCGUUGUGUGGUUGGGUCGACCACUGGUGUACCGAUGUCUCCUGGGUAUAGCGGAUACCAAACCGCAACGCCGCUGCCUUACUACACAACAACAACCUUAACGACCAGUUACUAAACCGAGGCCCCCAAGUUAUACACCACUAAGGCAUCGGAGUAUGACACCAUUACUUACGCUUCCCCGAGCUACUAACUACACCGAUGCCCCGAAUUAUUACUCUGCCUCCAGCUACACCACUAAGGCAGCGGAGUACUUCAUGACUACGUA